rnacentral:snoRNA from 1 species
CCACCCAUGGCAACAAAUUCCAAUCGUGUGUUCACCAAUGCGAUUGAGCCGACGCCAUGGGAAAUCAUUGUAUUCGGCUAUUUGAUCCCACUUCCACUAUCCAUUAGUGAUUGUGGUUUGCACGUAGUCUACAA